rnacentral:lncRNA from 1 species
AAAUCACAAAUAUUAUAAAUCAAAACUUAUUAUAAGUCACAAAUUAUCAAAUUUUUGUUCACAGAUUAACAAUUUCUUAGAUCACAAUUUAUAUCUUUUAUUGGUCACAGUCAAUCAAAUAAUUUGUGACCACCUUCUCACUAUUGCCUCCAGUAGCACCACCACCACUAGCUCCCACAGUUGGCCACGAACCCUCAAAUAAUUGGUCACAAACACUUUCAUACUACAUCGCCACCACAAUAGCAAUUCGUAACCACCACACCGCCACCGUUAACACUACCACCACCAUUGCCAUCGUAGCGCCGCACCACAACUACCAAAUACUAUCAUGACGCCGCACCAUUGCCUCCAACACUAUCUCUUGCACCACCGUAACCAUCACAACCACCAACUACAUCAACAUCGCCCUCUACUCAACCGCCACCAUUUGCAAAAACACCAACCACCACUAGAAAACUUAAACUAAACAGAUUGAAUGAAAAAAAAAAAUCAAAAGCUGCAACACCAUCGAGGGUGGUACCACCACUGCGACAGCACCUCGACUGCACCACUUGGUCGAUUUCAAUAGAGCCUCCACCAAUCCAUCUAAAAUCAAAACCACCACCACCACAUUCACCCUAGAUCCACACCAAAUCGUCGAUUGUAGCCAUCGUAUCAUCUUCUCUACAGUCGUGAAUCAAUUUCUUCGAGUCGCUGUCGCCACCAGACCACCACCUGCUACGGUUCAUGGUGAUGCAGUGUCGGCUGAAUCGAGGUACCGUCACACGCUAUGACACAUUGUCACGAACCACUGGAACAUUAGAUAGAAGGUAUGUAGGUAUUGAGAGAAGGGGGAAGAGGGGAGAAGAAAAGAUAGAAGAUGAAAGAGACGAAGACCGCCGGAGAUGAGAUAUAGAGAGAGAAAAUGAAAUGGG